UGCCACAGCCAUAUCACCCUUCAUCCCAGGACCUGAAGCUAAGCAGGGCUGAGACUUUUCAGUACCUGGAUAGGAGACCACAUGGGAAAACCAGGUUGUUGUUGGAA
rnacentral:rRNA from 1 species